AACGAACGCUGGCGGCAUGCCUAACACAUGCAAGUCGAACGAUUGCCUUCGGGUGAUAGUGGCGCACGGGUGCGUAACGCGUGGGAAUCUGCCCUUAGGUUCGGAAUAACAGCUGGAAACGGCUGCUAAUACCGGAUGAUAUCGCGAGAUCAAAGAUUUAUCGCCUGAGGAUGAGCCCGCGUUGGAUUAGGUAGUGGGUGGGGUAAAGGCCUACCAAGCCGACGAUCCAUAGCUGGUCUGAGAGGAUGAUCAGCCACACUGGGACUGAGACACGGCCCAGACUCCUACGGGAGGCAGCAGUGGGGAAUAUUGGACAAUGGGCGCAAGCCUGAUCCAGCAAUGCCGCGUGAGUGAUGAAGGCCCUAGGGUUGUAAAGCUCUUUUACCCGGGAAGAUAAUGACUGUACCGGGAGAAUAAGCCCCGGCUAACUCCGUG
rnacentral:rRNA from 1 species